UGUCUCUCUUGAUGUACGCGGCAACUUGCUGUCGGGGGUCGGGGUGAAGGUGAGAGAAGGGAUGUCAGCGCAUGAAAGACCUGGUUCAGCUGCAGGAGAAGAACGUACAAGUAUUUCUUCCCUAAAGUAGACCUAAAUAUACUGCUCAUGGAAGAAGCCGGCAAAAAAUUGAUUGGCGAAUAUGACUUCCGCAACUUCUGCAAGUUCAAUGUUAAAGAUGGCAUUACAAACUAUGUUCGAAAAAUCAUGGAGGUUGAAGUCAAGACUCUAGAUGAGACCGAUGACGGAUUCACAAUGUGCGAACUCACCAUCGUCGGGAGGGCGUUCCUGUGGC